rnacentral:lncRNA from 10 species
GUUGGAAACAACCCUCAAUGCAACAGUGUUGGAAGGUGGAGACUUUGGGGAGGAGUUUAGGUCAUAAAGGCUUUGCCCUCAUGAAUGGAUUAAUGCCACUACAAAAAGGGUUUGCAGGAGUAGGCCCACUCUCUCUUGUUCUUCUGCCUUCUGACAGGUUCAUUGCUAAGGAAUGGAUUGAAUCAGUACCUAAACCAGCUGACAGCUGCCAUGCUGUAAGAUGGUCCACAAGGCUUUUGGCCAACAACCAAUGAUGGAUUGAGGCCUUCAGUCCAACAACCCACAAGGAACUCAAUCCUGCCAAUGACUAUGUGAACCUGGAAGCAGACCUAUCCUCAGUUGAGCCUCUAGAUGAGAACCCGCCUAUGGCUGACACCUUGAUUUUGCAGCCUUGCAGAGGAUUCAGCUAAGCUGUGCCCAGACUUCUGACCCACAGAAACUGGAUGAAUAAAGAAUGCAUCUUUUGCCAAGUACUGGGUAGAAUUUCCUUGGAGAGACUACAGAAGUGUGAGCAAUUUGGCUCUGUUCAUUACAAACAGUGUCUAUGGCAGACAUAUGAAGACCACAACUCCCUCCUUGAUGGAACAGGACCCUCGCCCCAGAGUGAGAAAACUGACGCUCAGGCAUCGAUUAGGCAGGGAUGACUAUAAUGUGUUCUCUGCAGUCAGGUGAAGGACUGGUACGCAAUACUAAGUAGAACUGGGAGUAGAGUAUAACCAUCAAUAGCUAUUGUUUGCUACGCUACUUGCUUUUUAUAAAACAUUACCAGUCCUGAGAAGUAUUAGCUGGAGAGUGUGAAGAAAGAACAUUUCAUCAUCUUGCCCAAAUUCACAAAACAAUUAUCCACCUCGCCACACAAUGAAAUCACCAUCUAGUACUUAGUGUGAGCAGUAGAAUUAUACCAACGACAGAGGCGAAAGCAGCAUCCAGCACUGGCUUUGGAUACUGUUCGUAGGUCUAUGGAGGCCCUGAAAAGCUAACAAGAACUAAGCUGAAGAAUCUUCCACUGCUCGUGAAGCUGGCUUUAGGAGUCAGGAGGGAACUAUGCGGUACAAGAACACCUGCUGGAGAACAGCAGGGUAUCAAUAAUAAAUGCUAACCUUUAAAAAGGGGAUUCUUUUGAACACUGACAAGGGCCCUGCAUCUUUUUCUUCUCAUCAGGUGGUUUCACAGAGGAAAGAUUUAGGAUGUGAUUAGAGGACUGAAACAGCCAUGGGCCAUCUCUCCAGAGCGCAGCAGACUUCUAACACAAGGAGGAACUACCACCCUAGCCUGACUUUUGGUUGUCUCCAACUAGUUGAGGAUAUGCUUUCGAGAGCACAUCAACUUUGGUGCAAUGUUGGGGGUGGAAGGGGAGGUUUUGUAUCUGUUUUACAAUUUAGACACACACACACAAGAUUUGAGUUAGAGCACAGAGUAUGCUUAAAACAUGGCAUAGAGUCAUAAGAUGAAACAAAGCCUGCCUCCACUUGUUACUGCUUCCUUUUUGGUGUGUAUGAUCUAUUUCUUCCUAUUUUGUGGAAGCUUGUCAGUCCUCAAACUGGAAGGCUCAAAUACAAUAUUUCAAACUGGCACCAGAUUCAUGUAACCCUAUAGGGCAUGCCAGAAUUCUGGGCAAUCUUUUAAGGAUACAUAGUCCACAGAAUGAAUAAAACCAGCAUCUAUUGCCAGGGCAAAAUUUAGUAUGGGUUUUAGGGGUCAUUGGCUAAAAACAAAAUGCCAAUAUGCUGGCUGAAUCAACUGGGUUUUAUUCAUUUUACAUUCCCAGCAUUAAGCAUAGCUAUUACUAGGCAUUGGGUCAGUUUCAUGGCUGAAGCCUGGUAUUAUCUGGCAUUUCUUUUACUUGAGAAAAGGGAAACAUCUUGAGGACUUGAUUUAAUGUGAAAGAAAUGUAAUUUAAAGGAACUAAAAGGAGAAUGAUUAUCAUUGUUGUUUGCUAACACAUAAAGUAUAGUGAGUUACAUACCAGAAAUUUACUGGUAAAACCAUUUUGUAGGUUAAAAAAAUCAAGUGUAUGUAAGUCACAAUCUCAAAUAUUACAUUCUCACUAACAUCUGUAUAAAAAGAUCUGUCCCCAUAAGAAAAUAAAUUCUUGAACCACAGGGAAACCAAUUUAUCAUUCUGGCUCAUUCUUUUUCCCCUUACCUAAUUUGCUCCCAUUUCUGAACCUCAUUUUCUCUAGUUUGCUCCAAAGCUAUUCUGCUUUUAAUAUCUCACAAGACCUGGAUUGUUUCCUGUGUGCACAACAGGCUUUUAAAAUACAUGGGCUUAACCUGCUACCCAGGUGCACCCUUUUCUCAACAUUUCUCCAUCUCGCA